rnacentral:rRNA from 1 species
CAAGGCAUGAAGUUAGGUGAGAAAACCCGCUGAAUUUAAGCAUAUAAGUAAGCGGAGGACAAGAAACUAAAUAGGAUUCCCUUAGUAAUGGCGAAUGAACAGGGAUGAGCUCAGAAUGGAAAUUGGGGUCUCACGACCUUGAAUUGUAGUCUUGAGAUGUAUUGCCAACGGAGGCGCAGAUGUAAGCCGCUUGGAAAAGCGCAUCAACGAGGGUGAGAGUCCCGUUUGUCAUCUGCAGUCCCCCGUGCACGGUGUACAUUCUAAGAGUCACGUUCCUCGGGAUUGGAGCGCAAAGUGGGUGGUAAAUUUCAUCUAAAGCUAAAUAUUGGUUCGAGACCGAUAGCAAACAAGUACCAUGAGGGAAAGGUGAAAAGGACUUUGAAAAGAGAGUUAAAAGUGCCUGAAAUUGCUGAAAGGGAAGCGAAUGGAACCAGUGUUCUUGGCGAGAUUGUUGCGUACUCUGGUGAUUGCUGGGUGUUCCACCGCAAGGGGGGCAUUUGGUUUUGAGCUAGAUGUGCGUAGUGUUUCUUGUCUUGUGUGUCACCGUCGGUGCACGGUUGAGUAAACCUCCAAGGGGAUGGUAGCUCUACUGCGGUGGUGUGAAUACCUUUGGUAGUACUCAUCGGUGUAUCGAUCCCUGCGUGUCUGGUUGCAGUGUUUGGUUCGCCUGGAAACCUCUGAUGGGACUUGUCCUUGAAAGGGGUCCUUCGGGCGCGCUGAGCAUCUCCCUGACACAAAGACGAUGACUAAAUGGUUCCAUUCGACCCGUCUUGAAACACGGACCAAGGAGUCUAACAUAUGUGCGAGUUCACGGGUGUUAAACCUGAAUGCGCAAUGAAAGUGACUGCUGGGAUUUUUGCACCAGCAACCGACCAAUCAAUUGAGAGAGGUUUGAGUAUGAGCAUAUCUGUUAGGACCCGAAAGAUGGUGAACUAUGCCUGAGAAGGGUGAAGUCAGGGGAAACCCUGACGGAGGCUCGUAGCGGUACUGACGUGCAAAUCGUUCGUCAAACUUGGGUAUAGGGGCGAAAGACUAAUCGAACCAUCUAGUAGCUGGUUCCCUCCGAA